GUGAAAUAUUUGUUGCCCUAAACGUAUUUUUGUCUGUUUACUUGAAAGUUAUUAUUAUUAAAAAAAUAUUUUUUUGCACAAUUUCUAGAUUACACUACACGAUUACAUAUUAAAGAAAAAUCACGAUAAAAUAUAUAACCACAAUGUUAAAACCGCCAAUUUCAAUUUCCAUUAUUCCUCAAUUCUCACCAUUAUCUGCAUAUAUGUAAGCAUGGUUCGCCGGAACGGCGUGGGAACGGCCGGAACGGCCGUUCUGAAAGGGGAACGGUGCCCUCCAUUCCGGAAUCCGUAACCAGAACGGUGUUUUCACUGG
rnacentral:lncRNA from 1 species